rnacentral:rRNA from 1 species
UACGUAGGCAGCAAGCGUUGUUCGGAAUUACUGGGCGUAAAGAGUGUGUAGGCGGUGUUCUAAGUUUGUCGUGAAAUCUCCCUGCCUAACGGGGAGGGUGCACUUUAGACUGCCAAGCUAGAGGACGGUAGAGGGGGGUAGAAUUGCUGGUGUAGCGGUGAAAUGCGUAGAGAUCAGCAGGAAUACCCGUGGCGAAGGCGGCCCCCUGGGCCGAACCUGACGCUGAGGCGCGAAGGCUAGGGGAGCGAACGGG